AACGCACCUUGCGCUCUUUGGUAUUCCGAAGAGCAUGCCUGUUUGAGUGUCAUGAAAUCAUCAACCCCCUACACUUUUUGUGUUAGCGGCGGCUUGGACUUGGAGGCUUAUGCUGGCUUUUCGAAGUCGGCUCCUCUUGAAUGCAUUAGCUGGACUUGUGUUUCGCAGUACGCGGUGUGAUAAUUUAUUCACCCAUGUGCGCUUACACUCCUAGUCAAGCUUCUAAUCGCUCGUAACUGAGCAAUUCUUGACCAUCUGACCUCAAAUCAGGUAGGACUACCCGCUGAACUUAA
rnacentral:misc_RNA from 1 species